rnacentral:rRNA from 1 species
AGUGAACGCUGGCGGUAGGCCUAACACAUGCAAGUCGAACGGCAGCACAGUAAGAGCUUGCUCUUACGGGUGGCGAGUGGCGGACGGGCGAGGAAUACAUCGGAAUCUACUUUUUCGUGGGGGAUAACGUAGGGAAACUUACGCUAAUACCGCAUACGACCUACGGGUGAAAGCAGGGGAUCUUCGGACCUUGCGCGAUUGAAUGAGCCGAUGUCGGAUUAGCUAGUUGGCGGGGUAAAGGCCCACCAAGGCGACGAUCCGUAGCUGGUCUGAGAGGAUGAUCGGCCACACUGGAACUGAGACACGGUCCAGACUCCUACGGGAGGCAGCAGUGGGGAAUAUUGGGCAAUGGGCGCAAGCCUGAUCCAGCCAUGCCGCGUGGGUGAAGAAGGCCUUCGGGUUGUAAAGCCCUUUUGUUGGGAAAGAAAAGCAGCAGGUUAAUACCCCGCUGUUCUGACGGUACCCAAAGAAUAAGCACCGGCUAACUUCGUG